rnacentral:rRNA from 1 species
AUUGAACGCUGGCGGCAGGCUUAACACAUGCAAGUCGAGCGGAGAUGAGGUGCUUGCACCUUAUCUUAGCGGCGGACGGGUGAGUAAUGCUUAGGAAUCUGCCUAUUAGUGGGGGACAACAUUCCGAAAGGAAUGCUAAUACCGCAUACGCCCUACGGGGGAAAGCAGGGGAUCUUCGGACCUUGCGCUAAUAGAUGAGCCUAAGUCGGAUUAGCUAGUUGGUGGGGUAAAGGCCUACCAAGGCGACGAUCUGUAGCGGGUCUGAGAGGAUGAUCCGCCACACUGGGACGGAGACACGGCCCAGACUCCUACGGGAGGCAGCAGUGGGGAGUAUUGGACAAUGGGCGGAAGCCUGAUCCAGCCAUGCCGCGUGUGUGAAGAAGGCCUUUUGGUUGUAAAGCACUUUAAGCGAGGAGGAGGCUACCUGGAUUAAUACUCUAGGAUAGUGGACGUUACUCGCAGAAUAAGCACCGGCUAACUCUGUGCCAGCCGCCGCGGUAAUAC